rnacentral:rRNA from 1 species
GACGAACGCUGGCGGCGUGCCUAAUACAUGCAAGUCGAGCAAGACUCUUCGGAGUCUAGCGGCGGACGGGUGAGUAACACGUGGGCAACCUGCCUGUAAGACUGGGAUAACACCGGGAAACCGGUGCUAAUACCGGAUAAUCCUUUUCCUCUCAUGAGAAAAAGCUGAAAGUCGGUUUCGGCUGACACUUACAGAUGGGCCCGCGGCGCAUUAGCUAGUUGGUGAGGUAACGGCUCACCAAGGCGACGAUGCGUAGCCGACCUGAGAAGGUGAUCGGCCACACUGGGACUGAGACACGGCCCAGACUCCUACGGGAGGCAGCAGUAGGGAAUCUUCCACAAUGGACGAAAGUCUGAUGGAGCAACGCCGCGUGAGCGAUGAAGGCCUUCGGGUCGUAAAGCUCUGUUGUUAGGGAAGAAUAAGUACCGGAGUAACUGCCGGUACCUUGACGGUACCUAACCAGAAAGCCACGGCUAACUACGUGCCAGCCGCCGCCGUAAGAC